UCCUCAGUGCAAACCAGGGAGAGUUGGGAACAACAAAACAGCAUCAGCUCCAGGGGAAAGGAACCACAAAAAGCGACGGGAGAGAGAGAGAGAAAGAAAGGGAAAAAAAGAGGAAGAGGGGAGGAGAGCGCGUUUCAACUGGAGUUUCAAUGCACGCCGGAGUCGUUACCAGCUGGCAUGGCCUCUGCUCCAAAGCACCAGCCAGACCCAGCGGGGCCGGGGCCCACUUGCGGGUUCAGUCAGCCUAGACCCGCGGAAGCUGACUCGGAGAGCCGCAGAAAGGCGGGCCGGCCGCCCCUCACCAGGGGAGCCCAGCCUCCGUCCUUUGGAGCCGGCAGAUGCAAGGCCGGUCCCGCCCCGCACUUGAAAGGCGGCUUCUCUUUCAGGCCUCCCUCCUCUCCGCCGACAGCGGGAGGUGGGGAGCGGCUGGCUGGGCUGCCUCGUCUCGUGUCUCGGCUCUCCCUUUGUGCGUACCUCCCGGAACGAUUAUUAAACGCAAAUUACAAAAAGAGGUGACCCAAGCGAUCUUUAUUUCUUCUUUCAACAAGUGCUGCCCGGAGGGUCCUGAUUCCCAAUUCUGUUUCAAUUACCGCUUGCCAUUUUUUAUCCGCCCCGCCCCACCCAAACACAAAGUGACUCGUGCCUGCAAUUACCAGCCCCCGAAAAAGCAGAGCAGAGCCUGCCUGCCUGCCUGCAAACUUUUUCCUUCUGCAUUGGCUGGGGGAUUGAAGGCCUCAGUCGGGGAGCAAUGGCAGCUCUGCAGUCGGCCAUAAGCAACGCGCGCUCCUCAUCCCCGCCCGCCUCUCGGCCUUCAUCGCUGCUCUGAGGAACAACGGUAUGGCUCCUGGGCUCCUUUGCGCUCAGAUGAGGAACCGAAGCAGUGACAGAUCACAACCUGCUCAAGGUCACACGAGGAGUUCAACGCUCAGAAAUCAAGCCACUGAAAGACAGUGUUGCUUCAAUCUGGUCAGACAAGGAGUAGAAGAAGCUCCUGCCCCACCCACAUCGCACCAAGCUUUUGAUGCCGAGUGCUGGAAUCAGCUUGCAUGAAAUGUGUCACUGAUGCCAUAACUUCAGUGCAAUUGAGAGUAGUUACAAAACGGAACAUUUUGCUCUGGAAUUUUCAACACAUGCAGAUACUUUCCAGAGAAUUCUUUUACAUAUCAGGGCUUGCCAUGCAGCUCUAUCCCAGCCAGGACACCUGGGUGCAUUCCAGCACAUGGCUGAGAACUUGCUGGAGCCUCCAGUUUUGUCUCAUUGUUUCCAGUUGCUUAGAGAGCAGUGAUGAUGCACAGCUCAUCCUGGGACAGUAUCAGGUCAUGUGAAAGGGGAAGCAGCAGUUCCCAGCCACAUUCCAAAGUCAGUGAUGCUGCCAAAGUCAAGAUCCCAAAGAAACCUAGCAGAGAGGGAUAGAAGAAGAUGGGGAAAUCAUGACGCUCUUUCUCCUACUGAUGGUGGCUGGAGAAUCUGAAAAGCAGGGUGCUAUGCAUUUGCUUCCAAAUUGCAAAUUGAAGGGUGAUGUGUUGAAUUAAUUGCAUAUAACUGACUUAAUGUAUUUGGACUGCAUCUGGGUUUUUAGGAACCUAGGAGGCUGCUUUAUGCCAUGUUAAAUCAAUCAUUUAUGUAGCGCAGUACUGUCUGCAAUGACAAAAAAUGGCGUUCCACGGUUUCAGGGAGAAUUUAUUCCAUGCUCUCCUGUAUCAGUCCUGUGGCAUUCUGCAUGCAGAGAACAUGCUGUACCACUGAGCAGAAUUUUGGAAUAUUGUGGCAAGGGCUGUGGUGGUAGGUUAACUUCUCCUAUCCCUGUCAAACAAGGGACCAUAUACCUUCAUCCUCUCUCUAAUGCAUUGGGCUGAAAAAUACUGCAAUGCAUAUAGGGGCAGUAUCAAGUCAAAAGAAGAUGCAGAAUACAAUAAAUGAACACAGCUGGAACAUAUUCUGCACAUUUCAGCAUGGAGAUUAGAUCCACGGUUCUCCCCGAUUUUGUGUGUCCUUCUUUGGAAGAAGAAGCCCUUUGCUCCUCCAUUCCAGGUCUGUCUCCCUGAAACACCAGCUGAGCACUCCCUUGUAACCGAAUGCAACAGUACCCUGGGCUCACAGCUCCUUUUCUCUUUCAGAUUUCAGUUGCCCAGUAUCUGAGUUCCUUUGUUUUCAUGUUGAAACGAAGCAGACUUAUGUGCAGUAGAGGGGAGGCUGAGUACAGCCAGAACAUAUAGAACAGGGUGUCAAGGGAGCUGCAGUCCACUGCAGUGACCCACUCCUGAGGCUGCUGAGGCUUCCUGACCUGAUUCUCAAGGUAGAGAUUCCCUUCAGGUUUCGGGAGUGACAAACAACAGCAAGCGCAACCACAGCAGGACGCCAGCUAAACAGGAAAGCAGAGCACGCCUGAGUUUGACCCUGGAAGAUGAGGAAGAAAGUAUUCCUACCCCAGUAAGUCCCACAGCUUAUAAUUAAGAAUCGCAAUACGCGUUUUGUCUGUGUAGAUCUCCAAGGUUUCCAGGUGUGCAUCCAAGGGACUGAGCCACUUUGUUUUUCUGAAUUUUAAUGAGAGGCUUUUCAAGUGGGGUGUGGAUGCUAGGCUCCGUGUGGGUCUUGGUGGAAGAAAAGGCAGCGGGAUGGAGGAAGAAUAUCACUGAAGAUCAGCCCAUGCCAAGCACUUUUCGGUGCUCAGUGAACAAUGAUGGUUUUUCUACUACAUGUCUAACGCCAUGCAUGCGUGUACAGAUGGAGGACACGUCAACUCUCUGCUGUCAUCCACCCCCAUUUCAGAUCUUUAGGGGCGAAGACCUUAAUAAAAAAAUAUCCCAGCAGUGCUAAGAAUGCAGCCUAAGAAUGCCGGGUAUCAGUAGAUCUUGGACUUCAGGACCUGCUUCAUGGCAGGAGUUCUUAAAGCACUAUUAUAAUUAAUAUAACAAAUGAUGUCAACAGAGCACCUCACAGGAAGUCUGACUCCACCACAGGGGUUGGCCUCGUUCUUUCAUAAAUGAGGAAUAAGCAGCAGUCAAUGAUCCUUUUCUGAAUUUUCUUGUGAACUUUGACGGCUCUGGGUUCAGAGCAAGCACUGCUGUAACUCCCAAAGGAAUCUUAAGCAAGAAUCUGCCCCCGCCCACAAGGAAGUCAGCCUUCCUUCUGCAAAAAUUAUCACUGAGCAAUACAGUGAUUUAAAUCCAGUACCAUGAUGUGUAAGCACCCCGGACCAUGAGUGCUUUAGUCCUGGGGGGGGGGGCGGUGCUGGCAGCACAGAAAUCAUCUCAGCUAGUCCCCAAAUGGCCAUCUGUCAUGGAUGCUUUAGCUGAGAUUCCUGCAUUGCAGGGGGUUGGACUAGAUGACCCUUGGGUCCCUUUCCAACUCAAAGAUUCUAAAUAGAGCAAUAAAGUAUUGGGGCUUUUGCUCACCUCCUUCCCCCCACCCCAUCUGAGAGACUUGUUUUUCUUCUUCUUUUUUAUAGGGAGAUAUUGGCCCCUCCUAUCUGCUCUCUAGGGACGUGGGUGGCGCUGUGGGUUAAAUCACAGAGCCUAGAUCAGAAGGUCAGCGGUUCAAAUCCCCGCGACGGGGUGAGCUCCCGUUGCUCGGUCCCUGCUCCUGCCAACCUAGCAGUUCAAAAGCACGUCAAAGUGCAAGUAGAUAAAUAGGUACCGCUCCAGUGGGAAGGUAAACGGUGUUUCCGUGCACUGCUCUGGUUUUGCCAGAAGCGGCUUAGUCAUGCUGGCCACAUGACCCAGAAGCUGUACGCCAGCUUCUUUGGCCAAUAAAGCGAGACGAGCGCCGCAACCCCAGAAUCGUCCAU